rnacentral:rRNA from 1 species
GACAGAGGGGGCAAGCGUUGCUCGGAAUCACUGGGCGUAAAGGGCGCGUAGGCGGGAAGGCAAGUCGGUCGUGAAAUCCUUCGGCUCAACCGAAGAACGUCGGCCGAUACUGCCGUUCUUGAGGGAUGCAGAGGAGAUUGGAAUUCCCGGUGUAGCGGUGAAAUGUGUAGAGAUCGGGAGGAACACCGGUGGCGAAGGCGGGUCUCUGGGCAUCUCCUGACGCUGAGGCGCGAAAGCGUGGGGAGCAAACGGG